UACGGAGGGUGCAAACGUUGCUCGGAAUCAUUGGGCGUAAAGCGCACGUAGGUGGUCUGUUAAGUCUGAUGUGAAAGCCCUGGGCUCAACCCAGGAAGUGCAUCGGAAACUGGCAGGCUUGAGUAUGGAAGAGGGUCGCGGAAUUCCCGGUGUAGAGGUGAAAUUCGUAGAUAUCGGGAGGAACACCAGUGGCGAAGGCGGCGACCUGGGCCAAUACUGACACUGAGGUGCGAAAGCGUGGGGAGCAAACAGG
rnacentral:rRNA from 1 species